UACAGAGGUCUCAAGCGUUGUUCGGAUUCAUUGGGCGUAAAGGGUGUGUAGGUGGCGCGCUAAGUCGGGUGUGAAAUUUCGGAGCUUAACUCCGAAACUGCAUUCGAUACUGGCGUGCUUGAGGACUGGAGGAGGAGACUGGAAUUCGAUGGUGUAGCAGUGAAAUGCGUAGAGAUCAUGAGGAAGACCAGUGGCGAAGGCGGGUCUCUGGACAGUUCCUGACACUGAGACACGAAGGCCAGGGGAGCAAACGGG
rnacentral:rRNA from 1 species